UACGGAGGAUCCGAGCGUUAUCCGGAUUUAUUGGGUUUAAAGGGUGCGUAGGCGGACUAGUAAGUCAGUGGUGAAAUCCUGCAGCUUAACUGUAGAAUUGCCGUUGAUACUGUUAGUCUUGAGUACAUUUGAGGUAGGCGGAAUGUGGUGUGUAGCGGUGAAAUGCAUAGAUAUACCACAGAACACCGAUUGCGAAGGCAGCUUACUAAACUGUAACUGACGCUGAGGCACGAAAGCGUGGGUAUCAAACAGG
rnacentral:rRNA from 1 species